GUAUCACACCCACAUUUGUUCAUUAUCUUAUAUAUUGUUUCCCAAACUGACUAAUUUUUCAUUGAUUCAUGAUUAGUUAAGUGCAAUAAAUAAUUAUUUUAAGUUUCAACUUGAUCUGAGAGUGGGUGUGUGAGAAGAAAUGUGUAAAAUUAUCUAAGGGGACCACACUCUACAUAUUCAUCCAUAUCUGUGAAUACUGAGGGAUUACUUUCCCUUGUUGAUAUCGAAAAGAUAAUUACCAUUAAUUAAUAAACUAAUUGGUUACAUUUUUUUCAUUGAUUCAUGUCUUUGUCUAAGCCAAUUAAUAAUUGUGCAGUUUCAACUUGAUUCGAGAAAGGGUGUGGGAGGAAUAACGUGUACAAACUUUUUACUAGACAGACAGUGAGUGGAGAUAAGCUUUUGAAAAAGCUAACCAUGUAUAGUUUUAUUUGCCAUAGAUGAGCAUCUCUAAUAGAUGUCUGGUGUCUCCUUAAUAAGGUCCUUAAUGUCUUUGAACUUAUAAGAAAGACCCAUGUGGAAAUGAGUCUAGAAACCUCAGCUUAGGCUUCUAAAUCUCUUAUGAUUUAUGAUUGAUGUUUCAGGACCAAUACCUUGGUUCAUGGUGACUGAGGUGUUUGUGCAGGUCCUAGGUUAGCCACUGUCAUUGUUUCUGUGGUGAUCAACUGGCUGUGCAACUUUGCUGUUGGCUUAGUGUUUCCCAAUUUACAGAAGUCACUAGAAACAUUAUUUCCUUUUUGCCUUUCUCCCUCUUGCUGUUGUUGUUCUUCAUCUUCACCUAUAUGUUUGUCCCAGAGACCAAAGGCAAAAGUAUUUCUGAGAUUACCCAGCUGUUUAAAUCUCCCACUAUGGAUAGAUCAGGAUCCAGAAAUUCCUACAAAAGCUCAAAGAACAGAUACAGCACCCAAGUCUUGAUAAUUGAUCCACCUCUCUCAGAAAAAGGGACGGAAUAUUAUAUUGAGUCCAGCUACUUAUAGAAUUUAGGUGGCUGAACAAUUUUGGCUGCUGUUUUAUUUUUUGAAAUGUUAGUCUUUUGAUUUAGUUUCAUGUUGGAUAAAUUUGUUAUUUAUAACAUUUUAUUAUAAUAUAUACAGGGCUUUCAUUUUUAUAUCAAUGCAAAUACAAUUAAUCAGUUUUAAAAAAUAUAUUCAUCAUUUUAAAUGACAACUUUUGUUAUAUUGCUCUAAAUACAUAUGAUCAUGUAUCAACAUACCUCAAUAGAAUUGUGAUAACACACCACAACAGUUGUUUAUGAGAUACCAUUUAAUACAUUUAAAGGAGGCCAGAGACUUUCUUCCAAUAAAGUGAUUUAAAACUAUGUACCCCAUCAGUAUUUCAUAUUAUAUUUAUAAAACUAAUUAAAGCAGCUUUAUUCUGGCUGACAAUGUCUGUUCUGGAUGUGGCAAAUCUGGAUGUGGCAAAAUAUGUAAGUUGCAGCUGGGGCUAGGUAGCCAUGGGAAAUACUGCUUUCAUUAAAUCUUCAGACUUGAAGACAAGCCUUAUUAUUAUUAAUCUGGUCAGUGAUUUCAGUGCAAUAUGAACACUAAUGUUUUGUGUAACUAUUUUUCAAUAAGAUUGUUUUCUAUUAAAAAUAUUUUUAUUAUAAGUUUCAA